AUAGGAUAAGUGAGACUAGAAGUUGGACUGACAGAGCAACCGUCACACUCAAAAUCUAGCGACGUCGAAGCAGCGGCAACCGACGGGGCGUAUCCUUCCAAGCUGCCGCCCCGCGACCCAGCUGAAGGCGUGGAACAGACCGACCGCACGAAGAUACGAGGAAAUUAACACGAGUUUCGUCAUCAAGAACUCGAGGCCGCGUCACCUUCCGCUCUAUAACUCCACCGACUUCCUUCCCCUGCUGAUUCCCCACACACACACCGCCAACACCUUUCCUUCGCCAUGGAGUACUCCUCCUCCUCCAGCAAAGCGUCCGCCACUCGCGCCGCCCUCCUCCUCUUCUUCUUCAUCUCUUGCAUGCCAUCUUUGUAUUCGAGAAAGUUACUCAGUGAGCCGCCGGGGGAGAGAAGCGCCGGAGCAGUAAUGGAGGCCGCGGCUUUGGUGCUGACCAUGCUCCCCAGGGCCAGCGUUCCUCCAUCUGCCCCUGGAGAAGGCGGCAACGGAGUGGGUAGUCCGCACCACGGGGACGGUGAGAGGUUGCUGGGGUCGGUCCCCAGCCCGGGGAUCGGCCAUUAAUUUGCCUGCGCUGAUUCACUGCACUCUAUUACUUCUUGGUAUAUUUUGGUGCCAUGCAUGCAAUCAUCCAUUCUGUUUUGUAUGAGAGAUUUUAGGAGAUGAUUGAGAAUUACAUAGAUCAA